GAUGAAGAACGUAUCGAAAUGCGAUAAGUAAUGUGAAUUGCAGAAUUCAGUGAAUCAUCGAAUCUUUGAACGCACAUUGCGCCCGCCAGUAUUCUGGCGGGCAUGCCUGUUCGAGCGUCAUUUCAACCAUCAAGCCCCCGGGCUUGUGUUGGGGACCUGCGGCUGCCCGCAGGCCCUGAAAACCAGUGGCGGGCUCGCUGUCACACCGAGCGUAGUAGCAUAUCAUCUCGCUCUGGGCGUGCUGCGGGUUCCGGCCGUUAAAGCCUUUUUUUUUUACCCAAGGUUGACCUCGGAUCAGGUAGGAAGACCCGCUGAACUUAAGCAUAUCAAUAAGCGGAGGA
rnacentral:misc_RNA from 1 species